GACGAACGCUGGCGGCGUGCUUAACACAUGCAAGUCGAACGGAAAGGCCUCUUUCGGGCGGUACUCGAGUGGCGAACGGGUGAGUAACACGUGAGUAACCUGCCCUUGACUUUGGGAUAACUUCAGGAAACUGGGGCUAAUACCGGAUAGGAGCUCCUGCUGCAUGGUGGGGGUUGGAAAGUUUCGGCGGUUGGGGAUGGACUCGCGGCUUAUCAGCUUGUUGGUGGGGUAGUGGCUUACCAAGGCUUUGACGGGUAGCCGGCCUGAGAGGGUGACCGGCCACAUUGGGACUGAGAUACGGCCCAGACUCCUACGGGAGGCAGCAGUGGGGAAUAUUGCACAAUGGGUGGAAGCCUGAUGCAGCAACGCCGUGUGCGGGAUGACGGCCUUCGGGUUGUAAACCGCUUUCGCUCAUGACGAAGCUUUGUGUGACGGUAGUGGGUAAAGAAGCACCGGCUAACUACGUG
rnacentral:rRNA from 1 species